CCAGUAGAAAUGUAGGUGCGUUGGUUCCAGUCCUCAGCAAAUGGUACCUCCCACCAAAGCUGUCCAGCCUGGCUUCCCAGAAAGCCCUAUGGAAUUUGGGGUAUACGUUUAGUCGUGACAAGGAACAUUCUUGUGCCUUUCUUUGUCUGGAUUCAAAGAAGCGAAACUGCAUAUUCUGGUCACUCUCAGCUCUCAUUCGAUAUCUGUAUCCCAACAGCACCUGUGCAAUUCAGCCUCCAGGAGUCCUUCAGGCCAUGCCUCUUGCAACCCUUUACCCCUUACAUGUCUAGUAUUUUCUUUUCAGGAGACAUUUGCUCAGAAGAGAAUCAAAUAGUUUCCUCUUAUGCUUCUAAAGUCUGUUUUGAGAUCGAACAAGAUUAUAAAAAUCAUCAGUUUCUGGGGCCUGAAGGAAAUGUGGAUGUUGAGUUGAUUGAUAAGAGCACAAACACAUACAGUGUUUGGUUCCCCACUGCUGGCUGGUAUCUGUGGUCAGCCACAGGCCUCGGCUUCCUGGUAAGGGAUGCAGUCACGGUGACGAUUGCGUUUGGUUCCUGGAGUCAGCACCUGGCCCUGGACCUGCAGCACCAUGAACAGUGGCUGGUGGGUGGCCCCUUGUUUGAUGUCACUGCAGAGCCAGAGGAGGCUGUCGCCGAAAUCCACCUCCCCCACUUCAUCUCCCUCCAAGGUAAUGUGGGGUGAGCGGAGGCUGUGGGGGCCGCUGGGGUGCGUGCUGUCUCACUGCUGUUGUGGUUCUCCUGCAGCAGGUGAGGUGGACGUCUCCUGGUUCCUUGUUGCCCAUUUUAAGGAUGAAGGGAUGGUCCUGGAGCAUCCAGCCCGGGUGGAGCCUUUCUAUGCCGUCCUGGAAAAGCCCAGCUUCUCUCUGAUGGGCAUCCUGCUGCGGAUUGCCAGCGGGACCUGCCUCUCCAUCCCCAUCACUUCCAACACGUUGAUCUAUUAUCACCCCCACCCCGAAGAUAUUAAGUUCCACUUGUACCUUGUCCCCAGCGACGCCUUGCUAACGAAGUGGAUCUCCAGCUUGCAGCUGCAUCAGCCCCUCCUCCUUUCUCAGGUGCAGCCUUUGUGAAGGAGAACCACCGGCAACUCCAAGCCAGGAUGGGGGACCUGAAAGGGGUGCUCGAUGAUCUCCAAGACAAUGAGGUUCUUACUGAGAAUGAGAAGGAGCUGGUGGAGCAGGAAAAGACACGGCAGAGCAAGAAUGAGGCCUUGCUGAGCAUGGUGGAGAAGAAAGGGGACCGGGCCCUGGACGUGCUCUUCAGAAGCAUUAGUGAAAGGGACCCUUACCUCGUGUCCUAUCUUAGACAGCAGAAUUUGUAAAAUGAGUCAGUUAGGUAGUCUGGAAGAGAGAAUCCAGCGUUCUCAUUGGAAAUGGAUAAACAGAAAUGUGAUCAUUGAUUUCAGUGUUCAAGACAGAAGAAGACUGGGUAACAUCUAUCACACAGGCUUUCAGGACAGACUUGUAACCUGGCAUGUACCUAUUGACUGUAUCCUCAUGCAUUUUCCUCAAGAAUGUCUGAAGAAGGUAGUAAUAUUCCUUUUAAAUUUUUUCCAACCAUGGCUUGAUAUAUCACUAUUUUAUCCAUUGACAUGAUUCUUGAAGACCCAGGAUAAAGGACAUCCGGAUAGGUGUGUUUAUGAAGGAUGGGGCCUGGAAAGGCAACUUUUCCUGAUUAAUGUGAAAAAUAAUUCCUAUGGACACUCCGUUUGAAGUAUCACCUUCUCAUAACUAAAAGCAGAAAAGCUAACAAAAGCUUCUCAGCUGAGGACACUCAAGGCAUACAUGAUGACAGUCUUUUUUUUUUUUUUUGUAUGUUAGGACUUUAACACUUUAUCUAUGGCUACUGUUAUUAGAAUAAUGUAAAUGUAUUUGCUGAAAGAGAGCACAAAAAUGGGAGAAAAUGCAAACAUGAGCAGAAAAUAUUUUCCCACUGGUGUGUAGCCUGCUACAAGGAGUUGUUGGGUUAAAUGUUCAUGGUCAACUCCAAGGAAUACUGAGAUGAAAUGUGGUAAAUCAACUCCACAGAACCACCAAAAAGAAAAUGAGGGUAAUUCAGCUUAUUCUGAGACAGACAUUCUUGGCAAUGUACCGUACAAAAAAUAAGCCAACUCUGACAUUUGGAUUCUACCAUAGACUCUGUCAUUUUGUAGCCAUUUCAGCUGUCUUUUGAUUAAUGUUUUCGUGGCACACAUAUUUCCAUCCUUUUAUGUUUAAUCUGUUUAAAACAAGUUCCUAGUAGACACCAUCUGGUUGAGUCAGUUUUUUUAUGGUGUAUUUUGAACCCAUUCUGAUAGUCUCUUUUAACUGGAAAAUUUCAAUUACUUACGUUAAUGUAAUUAUUAAUAUGUUAGGAUUUAUCCUCAGUCAGCCAGUUUGUUACGUCUUUUCUAUUCUACUGUUAUCACAUUUGUACCACUUAAAGUGGAAUCUAGGCACUUUAUCACCAUUUAGAUCCUAUUACCUUUUCUCAUCUAGGAUAUAGUUAUCUUCUACAUAAUCUUUCUGUAUCUUAAAACCCAUCAAUAAAUUAUUAUAUAUUUUCUACUUUUAAUCACUCAGAAGAUUUAAAAAACUCAUGAGAAGAGUAAUCUGUUAUGUUUUUCCAGAUAUUUACCAUUUCUGUUGCUCUUCCUUCAUUAUUUUCCAAAUUUCGUUCUGCAAAUUUCCACUUCGUCUGAUAGACGUUUUUUAGUUCUUUUAGAGUGGUUCUGAUAGGUACAGAUUCUCUUAUUUUUUGCUUCCUCUGAGGACAUCUUUUUCUCACCUUCAUUCUCAGUGAUGUUUUUUGCUUGUAGUAUUUUUAGUUGACAUUGUUUUCUGUUCAGCAGUUUCCUUUUAGCUUCCGUAUUUCCUGAUGAGAAAUCUGCAGUCAUUCAAAUUGUUGUUUCCCUGUAUGUAGUGUGUCAUUUUUCUGUCAGAUUUCAAGGUAUUUUUCUUUAUCUUUAGUUUUUAGCCAUUUCAUUAUGUUGGGGAUGAGUUUCCUUGUUUUAUUCCCUUUGGAAUUUGCUCCAAUUCAUAAAUUUGCAGUUUUAUGUCUUUUACCAAACUUAGAGGUUUUCAGCCUAAUUUCUAAAAAUACUUUUUAUUAGCCUGAUUUUCAUCUUUAUAGGAAAUAGUUUAAGUGAUGACAAGUUCCAAUAGCUUAUAUGCCCAGAAGGCCUUCAAAAUAAGAAUUUUGAAAGAAUACAGAAAACAAACUUUUAUAUCCUUCUCAUGUCUUCUACUGUAAAAUUCAUAUGCUUUGCUACUCUAAACCUAGUUUGAAAUAAACAGUCUUGAGAAUAGAUGAAAAUUUUGAUGAAUAGUGGAAUUCUUUUAAAUGGAAACCUCUUACAUGUGAUUUUCCUUGCCAUCUAGAAAUAAACCAUAGUAUUUAUGUUGAAUCAAUCAAUA
rnacentral:sRNA from 1 species